CGGAGCAUGGUGUUAAUGGCUAGCACGCGCGGUUUGGGACCGUGUAGUUUGGGUUCGAGUCCCAAUGCUCCGACAA
rnacentral:tRNA from 1 species